UCAUGACUGGGGUGAAGUCGUAACAAGGUAGCCCUAGGGGAACCUGGGGCUGGAUCACCUCCUUAUACGAUGAU
rnacentral:rRNA from 1 species